UGAUAAAAUUGGAUGAUGAAAGAAGUUAAGGUAUAAAUGUAGUAUGUGAGUGAAUAUAGCUCAGACACUGCAUUUGAUUCCUCAGGCGUUAGAGCUGCUCUUGGCCUGUGGAUUUAUCACUGAGGAGGUGUCCUGAACAAGGAAAACUUCAGGUCAUGGAAGAGCACUUCCAGAAAACAAUCCCCCUUUGUGUUACUUGCUGCAUUAAGUUCAACAAAAACGGGGGUGCUGUUUGGAAAGGUGUAUGAGAAAUUAAUCCAGCAUGCAGUAGCGCUUGGGGUCCUGUUUGAGUGCCUGCAGCCCCACAUAUCUGCAGGCCAGCUAACAAGUAUCCCCCCACUGGUCAUGAAAGACAUGGUGGGACACUAUGAUGACCAGGGCAUGACAGAGCUUCUUGAUGACCUCAUACCCCACCUUGAUGUCAUGACCCUUGACCUUCACCAGGUGGUCUGUUUAUCCAGACAGCACAGAUUGUGUGAUGCUUUGAUCUUUGUGUUUAACAAAGGAAUGAGUGAUUACAUCACACCCAUUGAGGAAUUGGUAGGAGGCAUGGCUAGUGCUUCACAUCAAGGUACAGGUAU